AUGAACGCUGGCGGCGUGCCUAAUACAUGCAAGUCGAGCGAACAGACGAGGAGCUUGCUCCUCUGACGUUAGCGGCGGACGGGUGAGUAACACGUGGAUAACCUACCUAUAAGACUGGGAUAACUUCGGGAAACCGGAGCUAAUACCGGAUAAUAUAUUGAACCGCAUGGUUCAAUAGUGAAAGACGGUUUUGCUGUCACUUAUAGAUGGAUCCGCGCCGCAUUAGCUAGUUGGUAAGGUAACGGCUUACCAAGGCAACGAUGCGUAGCCGACCUGAGAGGGUGAUCGGCCACACUGGAACUGAGACACGGUCCAGACUCCUACGGGAGGCAGCAGUAGGGAAUCUGCCGCAAUGGGCGAAAGCUUGACGGAGCAACGCCGCGUGAGUGAUGAAGGUCUUCGGAUCGUAAAACUCUGUUAUUAGGGAAGAACAAAUGUGUAAGUAACUAUGCACGUCUUGACGGUACCUAAUCAGAAAGCCACGGCUAACUACGUG
rnacentral:rRNA from 1 species